GGGAGCUUGUUAAAAUGCAGGUUCUGAUUCCGCAGGUCUGGGAUGGGGCCUGAGAUUCUGUAUUUUUAAAAAGUUC
rnacentral:miRNA from 1 species